rnacentral:lncRNA from 1 species
CUCACCUCCGUCUCCCCAGGUGUCCACGCUUAGCAGCUUUCUCACCGCCGCCAAACCUUGCCUGGGCACUGGGACCGUGGGUGGCCGCCUGUCCCUGGCUGUGGCUGAGCCAAGAUUGCACUUGUGAGAAGGCCCGACAGGCAGCAUGGGCGACAUGGCCAAUAGUUCCAUCGAGUUCCACCCCAAGCCCCAGCAGCAGCGGGAUGUCCCCCAGGCUGGAGGCUUUGGGUGCACGCUGGCGGAGCUGCGCACCCUCAUGGAGCUGCGAGGGGCCGAGGCGCUGCAGAAGAUCGAGGAGGCCUACGGGGAUGUCAGCGGGCUCUGCCGGAGGCUGAAGACCUCACCCACAGAGGGUAAGUCCCUCUCAGGCUGCGUGCCACCCAGCCCUGCUCCCAGCCUUCAGAGGAGCGACCUGAAGGCAUCCUUAGCCCCAAGGCUGGCCAGGGUCAAGGGCCACCUGUGCCCCUCCUCUCAGCCAUUUCCCUUGAGGGGGAGAUGCCCUGGGUAACUUGACCUGACCCCCUCAUCUCCAUAUCUCCACAAUCAGGAGUUCUCCGCUCUGUAGAGCGAGACUGGGGAGGAGGAGAUGGGAACUUCAUGGGACACACACACACAGGCGGAAUGGGCCCCAAACAGAAACCCUUCCGAGGAACAGGGCAGGGCAGGGCAGGGAGGAGGAAGACAGCCCCAUCUGUAUAUUUGGGGAUUUCCGGUGUGCUCAACCCUGUGUUCACUUAAGGGGGAUCAGAACAGGAGGAAGGGAUGCAGGGUGCAAGCCUUCGGAGUUUCGGGUGACCGGGGCCUCUCCUGGGAAGAGAGAGGAUGGCCUGGGGAUGGCACAAGCCAUUUGGGUCUGGCAGGAAGGGGUGACCGAAGCUGGGUCACGGGAGGCCCAGAGUGCUGAUCAGAGGUGGCACUGACUGGCCACAGCCGCGAGGCUCCUUGGCACCUCCAGCCUCCCGCUCUGCCCUCACCCUCAACCCAGAGACUGUUCUCUUGUGGCUCUGGCCUCGGCCCCGUCUGUCUGCAGGUGGCACUCAGGCUGCAGGGAGGAGUGAAGAUGGAGGAGGGGGGCUGUGGGCCAGGUCAGGAACUCCAGGGUCUGCCUGGGUCUCCCUAGCUUUGUGCCCUGGAGCUGAUGCGCCUGUGACACCCGGCCUCGCCGCCGCACACGCCCUCACGGUGCAGCUGCUGCUGGGGCUGAUGCCUUGGCUCUGCUCCCGAGCAUCUCUUGCCUUCCCUCCUCCUUGCCCAGCCCCGGAGGAGGCUGUGGAGGGCCAUUUAUCCACA